rnacentral:rRNA from 1 species
AGCGAACGCUGGCGGCAGGCUUAACACAUGCAAGUCGAGCGGGCAUCCUCGUGGUGUCAGCGGCAGACGGGUGAGUAACGCGUGGGAACGUGCCCUUCGGUUCGGAAUAACUCAGGGAAACUUGAGCUAAUACCGGAUACGUGCGAGAGCAGAAAGGUUUACUGCCGAAGGAUCGGCCCGCGUCUGAUUAGCUAGUUGGUGAGGUUACGGCUCACCAAGGCGACGAUCAGUAGCUGGUCUGAGAGGAUGAUCAGCCACACUGGGACUGAGACACGGCCCAGACUCCUACGGGAGGCAGCAGUGGGGAAUAUUGGACAAUGGGGGCAACCCUGAUCCAGCCAUGCCGCGUGAGUGAUGACGGCCUUAGGGUUGUAAAGCUCUUUUCUCCGGGACGAUAAUGACGGUACCGGAGGAAUAAGCCCCGGCUAACUUCGUGCCAGCCGCCGCAGUAA